UACGUAGGGCGCAAGCGUUAUCCGGAAUUAUUGGGCGUAAAGAGCUCGUAGGCGGUUUGUCGCGUCUGCCGUGAAAGUCCGGGGCUCAACUCCGGAUCUGCGGUGGGUACGGGCAGACUAGAGUGAUGUAGGGGAGACUGGAAUUCCUGGUGUAGCGGUGAAAUGCGCAGAUAUCAGGAGGAACACCGAUGGCGAAGGCAGAUCUCUGGGGCCGUAACUGACGCUGAGGAGCGAAAGCAUGGGGAGCGAACAGG
rnacentral:rRNA from 1 species